rnacentral:rRNA from 1 species
GACGAACGCUGGCGGCGUGCUUAACACAUGCAAGUCGAACGGAAAGGCCCUGCUUUUGUGGGGUGCUCGAGUGGCGAACGGGUGAGUAACACGUGAGUAACCUGCCCUUGACUUUGGGAUAACUUCAGGAAACUGGGGCUAAUAUCGGAUAGGAGCUCCUGCUGCAUGGUGGGGGUUGGAAAGUUUCGGCGGUUGGGGAUGGACUCGCGGCUUAUCAGCUUGUGGGAGGGGUAGUGGCUUACCAAGGCUUUGACGGGUAGCCGGCGUGAGAGGGUGACCGGCCACAUUGGGACUGAGAUACGGCCGGGACUCCUACGGGAGGCAGCAGUGGGGAAUAUUGCACAAUGGGAGGAAGCCUGAUGCAGCAACGCCGCGUGCGGGAUGACGGCCUUCGGGUUGUGAACCGCUUUCGCCUGUGACGAAGCGUGAGUGACGGUAAUGGGUAAAGAAGCACCGGCUAACUACGUGCCAGCCGCCGCGGUAACAC